AUAGUUAAAAUGACUUUCAGUGACAUAAAAGUAGCCCUGAUGUUCUGUUGUGGAUUAACCAUUUUCUAAGGAUUAGUAUAUCCUCUAGUUCUGGUACUAUUAGGUAUGGAGUAUUAAAAUAUCAGGAGACGUUCGCAGAUGGAGGGAACUUCAGAGCACCACAUGUGUACCUGAUAGCAUUAGCUUUAUUAUAAAAAUAACAUUUCUGCAGUUUUUAGAGAUUUGAAGUACUUUGGUCGGAAUGGUUUGUUACCUUGCUUCUGAAUGUAGGCAGUUCAGAGCUUUUAUAACACUGAAAACUGCCUCAGAUUACCUUGUUUUCUUUACUGUCGAAGAAGCAUGUGUUACAACAGGGUGAGAGUCAGACUCCCCUAUGGAGCAGAUAUUACACCUUUGUAAAUACAGUCUGAGGUAGCUUGAUCCCUCUUGAAUUAAGUGUACAUCCUAGUUACCAGGGGCAAAAGCCUGCAGAUUAGAAGCUAACACAGAGUAGUUAGUCUGAAAUCCCAAGGUAACUUAUGUACGUUUCAUAGCCAGUGUCAAAGCCUGUUUGAUGGACCUAGCAAAAUAGUGUUUGAUCUCUGCCAACUACCAGGAGGGUGCCAGUGACCAAGGGUAUAAGUGAAAUUACAGUAAAGUACCCAGACUUUAAAUGCGCUUAGUAAGAAAUUAGGAAACUGGCUGUAUCUAGGGAUGCCUGGACAUUACCAUCACAGCUCACUCAGGCUGAGAAGAGGAAGAGAUGAGUGAGCACAUGCACGGCUUGUGGAACCAGAACUCCAGUGGUACCUGCUGUGUUUGUGACAGCUACAAAGAGGGUGCAGCUUCAGUAGCUUCGAUGUGCACCUUGAGUGAAGCUGCUGCAAGAAGACCCCUGGCAGAUGUACAGUUUUUUGACAAGGCAGCAUGUCCUCUACUCUCUGACAACAGCAGUUACUGUUGUGGAUAAAAAGUAGUGGUGGCUUAGACAUGAAAUGACAUCCAGCAUACUAUUUUAACCCUGCAGACUUAUACAUAAACACCAAAACGUAUGGCAGCUAAAAGACCACAAGGAGGACAGUCAUAUGGGUCUGUGAAUGAAACAGGAUCAAAUGGAGCUUAUGGUAAAUGGGAAUUGUGGUUGUGAAAAGAAUACAGAGGUAGAGAGACCUGCGGUGUUCAGAGAAAAACAAAUGCAAGUAAAGGAUAACAUUGUACAUCAAUCAUACACUAUCUCUAGAAAAUAGGGACAACAAAGACAAAUUUAAAUGCUUUGGAAAGGCUGAUGGAUAACUGGAGAGCCGAUACUGGAAGACCUGAGAGCUGAAAGGACUUUUUCUUCUUUUUCCCUGCAGAAUUAGAUUUUUGACAUAGAUAUAUUACUUCUAAACAUUAUUAGAGAGGCAAUGUUACCAGGUUUUUACUUCCCUGGUAAAGAUUUAGAAAAAAGUGGUGUGAACAACGUCAGAGUUUAAGACAAAUAGACAGUGGUCAGUGGGUAGAUUUUUUGAAUUUCAAAAGGAAGCUGAGGAAACUUGGAACUUCUUACCUAAAGAAGCAAAUAUUUUAUGCAAUAAUUCAUAUUGAAUUUACAUGGAAAAGAGCUGCAGGUGUAUGACACACCACUUCAGAAAUAAUAUUAAGAAAAGCAGAUUAGACAAAAAGAAUGGAUUAAUGGAUUAGUUAGAAAAGAAGCAUACGUCAGAAAGUAUGACAGUAGCUGAGAAUUUCCUAAUCCAUCUCUUUUUUAAAUCAUAUUUUGUCAGCUUCCCAAAGACCUAGUGACCAAUAUCUGACACAA